rnacentral:lncRNA from 1 species
GUAAAGCAAGCAUUCAAAACCAUAGUUCAAAUGGCCAGACAAAAAGGAAACACAACAGAAGAUGAAAGAAUCAGGCACAUAUACUGUCUCUAUAAGCUGGGCUAAAAGUACCUAAGCACCAAUAUGUAUGUUCCAACUCAACUUCAGCUAGAAUAAGUAAUUAAAACAUCUCUACAUACAGUAGUGAGCAACAAAAAAUAUAUUUCAUAUCUCACUCUCUUUGUGUGUGUGUAUAUAUACACACUUCCAGCCCUCCCCUUUUUGGGGACGCGGCACAGGUAGAGAAAAUAUAUUUUAGCAAAUGAAGAACCGGGAAUGCAAUGUACGUGAACAUCUUGCAAUAAAACCAAAAUCUAAAUCUAAAAAAAUCAAUGUUUUGUGCAGCCAUACCAGUCCUCCCAAUUACAAGUAAAAUCACAAAAUAAUAAAUAAAAUAACAUCUAUAAAAAGAUAUUAAUGAACACAAACCGUCAAAGAGCCUAUCAGUUGAGCAAUGCAUGCAAUUGUAUAAACAACAACAACCAUUCCAAUCUAUGAACAUCAUAGUUGUCAUGCAAACAGCAGCAGCAAUACAAUAGAAAAUAUGACGUUAGUCCAGCAUUUUGCAAAAAUAUCACCAUAUGUUUCUCUCAUAAGCACCUGUCCAUCUCGUGAGACACCAUCAAAAGAAAGUACAACUUCAGGUGAUGAAGCACAAACUGAGCAGAGCUUUCUGCACAUCAAUAUCAAAGAAACUAAUACUUAACAUUGUCAUCCACCUUAACAUAGCAGGUCCCAAUGCCUAUAGCAAUAGAUACCUGCUGGAGAGUGGAAAGUGGAAACUUAGGAUUACACUAGUUAUAAGAAUAUAAGAAUAACAAACACAAAAGAACAAGAACAGUCUUGUAAGGAAGUAAUGGUAACCAAAGGAACAUAAGAAUUCAUUGAAGAGCCUCACCGAUCAAUGCCAUUUGCGCAAGCAACACACAGACUCACUGGUACGAUAAGUCUAAACAAUUAAAACUACAUGAAAGCACGACUUGCCAUCGUUAGUCACUUAACUAUGAUGUUCCCCGCAGCCCACAUCCUCCAAACAUUUACAAAAUCAGAGAACAUGAACCAUAUUAUUCCCCAUUUUCUUACAUGGCAUAAUUUCCCCUUUUUAAGAAACAAUCAAAGUCAAAAAGUCUAGACCGGUGUAAAGGAAAAUGGCCACUGAGGGCGUUAACGAAAAUCUGUCCAAUUGAGUGUCUUUUAGAGUUGUUCAAGUGGGGCCUUCAAGAACAACUUCACAUCUUUCCAUUCAAUAAGGAAUAUUAAAACUUUGGAAGGGCACCAGCAUCAAGGCUGUUGAAAACCAAUUCCUCAACAACCCUUGUGAAAUCAUACGAGAAAACCUCUGACCAAAAUAGCUUAACGCUUCCCGUCUCCCUAAAAAAAGUAAAAACAAAUACUAUAACUGUUGAACAUCCUUAACAUCAAGAAUGACAAAACAAUUUGUUUAAAAGAAAAGGAUUUUUUGAAUUUACUUGAUAUUUUCUAUGACACAUAUUCUUGAAAACUACAAUUUCCCUGAUUUUCUUAAAUAUGUAUCUAAGAAUGUCGAUGUAACUUCAAAAAGACAUCAAGUUCUUGAUAUUUUCUUAAGAAACACGCAUGCAAUAAUUUCAAGAAAAUACAAUAUCAUGAUAAUGGGAAGAACAAUAGCAUUACUUAGCAGAUAGAUUGAUUUAGGGCUUUGAUCGAACAACGUCAAAUUGUCAAUGGACAGUUAAGAGCAGCAAUUCGGUGGACUACUCUAAGAUGCGCCGGUAGCGGAUGGAAGCUCCGGUUCUUUAAUUUGAAAUCAGAGGAAGAAAGGCGGUGGUGACGUCUAAAAU